AUUGAACGCUGGCGGCAUGCCUUACACAUGCAAGUCGAACGGUAACAGAUCUUCGGAUGCUGACGAGUGGCGAACGGGUGAGUAAUACAUCGGAACGUGCCUAGUAGUGGGGGAUAACUACUCGAAAGAGUGGCUAAUACCGCAUGAGAUCUACGGAUGAAAGCAGGGGAUCGCAAGACCUUGUGCUACUAGAGCGGCCGAUGGCAGAUUAGGUAGUUGGUGGGAUAAAAGCUUACCAAGCCGACGAUCUGUAGCUGGUCUGAGAGGACGAUGAGCCAGCGUGGGACUGAGACACGGCCCAGACUCCUAAGGGAGGAAGCAGUGGGGAAUUUUAGACAAUGGGCGCAAGGCUGAUCCAGCAAUGCCGCGUGCAGGAUGAAGGCCUUCGGGUUGUAAACUGCUUUUGUACGGAACGAAAAGCCCUGGGUUAAUACCCUGGGGUCAUGACGGUACCGUAAGAAUAAGCACCGGCUAACUACGUGCCAGCCGCCGCAGUAAUAC
rnacentral:rRNA from 1 species